rnacentral:rRNA from 1 species
AUGGCCCAGCAUGCAUCACAUCACCACGUCUACUUGGGUGACAAGGGCUUCAAGGCGCUCGCCUCCCUCAUGAUGCUCAUCUCUUGGGAGGUUUGAUCGGAGCGCAAUGCUAGAGUCUUUCGCAACUUAGCGGCCGCUUCCAUGACAAUCAUCGACAAAAUCAAGCAGGAGGUAUCGCUUUGGGCUUUGGCUGGAGCGAAACAUUUAGGUGUUGUAGUGUCGCGAGAAUAG